rnacentral:rRNA from 1 species
UACGGGAGGCAGCAGUGGGGAAUAUUGGGCAAUGGGCGAAAGCCUGAUCCAGCCAUGCCGCAUGAGUGAAGAAGGCCUUCGGGUUGUAAAGCUCUUUUAGUGAGAAAGAUAAUGACGGUACUCACAGAAGAAGUCCUGGCUAACUCCGUGCCAGCAGCCGCGGUAAUACGGAGAGGGCUAGCGUUAUUCGGAAUUAUUGGGCGUAAAGAGCGCGUAGGCUGAUUAGUAAGUUAAAAGUGAAAUCCCAAAGCUUAACUUUGGAAUUGCUUUUUAAAACUGCUAGUCUAGAGAUUGAAAGAGGAUAGAGGAAUUCCUAGUGUAGAGGUGAAAUUCGUAAAUAUUAGGAGGAACACCAGUGGCGAAGGCGUCUAUCUGGUUCAAAUCUGACGCUGAGGCGCGAAGGGCGUGGGGAGCAAACAGGGAUUAGAUACC